AUGCGAUAAGUAAUGUGAAUUGCAGAAUCUCGUGAAUCAUUGAAUCUUUGAACGCACAUUGCGCCCUAUGGUAUUCCGUAGGGCAUGCCUGUCUGAGCGUCAGCUCCCCCCAACUCAAGCCUUUUUUAUUAAAGCUUGGAUUUCUUUAAAGAAGUGGUUGAACAAUAAUCAGCUACUCUUUAAAAAUUUAUAGGCAGUAUGGCACCUGAAACAGGCGUAAUAAGGAUAUAAAAGCGUCUCUCUUUAGGAAAGUUGUACUUGCCUCAACUCACCCAUUUUCUUCUGGGUGACCUCAGAUCAGGUAGGGAUACCCGCUGAACUUAA
rnacentral:rRNA from 1 species